GACGAACGCUGGCGGCGUGCCUAAUACAUGCAAGUCGAGCGCAGGAAAUCAUCCGAACCCUUCGGGGGGACGUUGAUGGAAUGAGCGGCGGACGGGUGAGUAACACGUAAAGAACCUGCCCUUAGGUCUGGGAUAACCACGAGAAAUCGGGGCUAAUACCGGAUGGGUCAUCGGACCGCAUGGUCCGAGGAUGAAAGGCGCUUCGGCGUCGCCUGGGGAUGGCUUUGCGGUGCAUUAGCUAGUUGGUGGGGUAAUGGCCCACCAAGGCGACGAAGCAUAGCCGACCUGAGAGGGUGAUCGGCCACACUGGGACUGAGACACGGACCAGACUCCUACGGGAGGCAGCAGUAGGGAAUCUUCCACAAUGGACGAAAGUCUGAUGGAGCAACGCCGCGUGAACGAUGAAGGCCUUCGGGUCGUAAAGUUCUGUUGUAAGGGAAGAACAAGUGCCGCAGGCAAUGGCGGCACCUUGACGGUACCUUGCGAGAAAGCCACGGCUAACUACGUGCCAGCCGCCGCCGUAAGAC
rnacentral:rRNA from 1 species